rnacentral:rRNA from 1 species
CCUACGGGUGUCAGCCGUUCUUACUAUUGUUCCCUGGCCGCGCGUCUGAACCAGCCAAGUAGCGUGAAGGAUGACUGCCCUAUGGGUUGUAAACUUCUUUUAUAUGGGAAUAAAAUGUUCCACGUGUGGGAUUUUGUAUGUACCAUAUGAAUAAGGAUCGGCUAACUCCGUGCCAGCAGCCGCGGUAAUACGGAGGAUCCGAGCGUUAUCCGGAUUUAUUGGGUUUAAAGGGAGCGUAGGUGGAUUGUUAAGUCAGUUGUGAAAGUUUGCGGCUCAACCGUAAAAUUGCAGUUGAAACUGGCAGUCUUGAGUACAGUAGAGGUGGGCGGAAUUCGUGGUGUAGCGGUGAAAUGCUUAGAUAUCACGAAGAACUCCGAUUGCGAAGGCAGCUCACUGGACUGCAACUGACACUGAGGCUCGAAAGUGUGGGUAUCAAACAGGAUUAGAUACCCCAGUAGUC